rnacentral:rRNA from 1 species
UGCAGUCGAGCGAGGGCUCUUCUCCCGCAAGGGAGGGGAGUUCCUAGCGGCAAACGGGUGAGUAACACGUGGGCAACCUGCCCCGUCGUGGGGAAUAAGCCCGGGAAACCGGGUCUAAUGCCGCAUGUCGUCAUCGGAGGCAUCUCCGAUGAAGAAAGCAGCAAUGCGCGACGGGAUGGGCCCGCGGCCUAUCAGCUUGUUGGUGGGGUAACGGCCUACCAAGGCUAUGACGGGUAGCUGGUCUGAGAGGAUGAUCAGCCACACGGGGACUGCGACACGGCCCCGACUCCUACGGGAGGCAGCAGUGAGGAAUCUUCCGCAAUGGGCGAAAGCCUGACGGAGCGACGCCGCGUGUGGGAUGAAGUCCCUCGGGAUGUAAACCACUGUCGGAGGGGAAGAGAACGGACGGUACCCUCCAAGAAAGCCCCGGCUAACUACGUGCCAGCAGCCGCGGUAAUACGUAGGGGGCGAGCGUUACCCGGAUUUACUGGGCGUAAAGCGCGUGUAGGCGGCUGGUCAAGCGUGGUGUGAAAUCCCUCGGCUCAACCGAGGAACUGCAUCGCGAACUGGCCUGGCUAGAGUGCAGGAGAGGGUGGUGGAAUUCCCGGUGUAGCGGUGAAAUGCGUAGGUAUCGGGAGGAACACCAGUGGCGAAGGCGACCACCUGGCCUGUAACUGACGCUGAAACGCGAAAGUGUGGGGAGCGAACCGGAUUAGAUACCCGGGUAGUCCACACCCUAAACGUUGCGAACUAGGUGUUGGCAAGAUUGACCUUGUCAGUGCCGCAGCUAACGCAUUAAGUUCGCCGCCUGGGAA